GUCAGCUGACCAAUCAGCGUUUUGACCGUCGACGUUGGCUGGCGUGUGUCGUCAUUGGUCCUGACCCCGUGACAGGAAGGAGGAGAGCAGAGCGGUGGAGAAACAAACACGGAAACCGACUGAAAAUACGGAGUAAAGUAACCGACGGUUUUUUUACACCGUGAGAGACGUCUUUGCUGAAGAAGUCUGGAAGCUACAACAAGCGUUGGAGCUGUUUUUGUCAAGCAUCAGUGAGGUUUGGACGCUGAACACACCGAGGGAAGGUGUCACUCCUUGGUCGUCCACUGCAGUCUUCGUAUGAAGUUGUUUGAGACAGAGUGGUCUCUGACAUGAGUUGUGCGUCCCUAACGUGGAUGGACAACAACAUGACAGACAUCUUUUGGCCUAUUAGGCACAGUGAGAGAAAGACAGGAAACGGGGAGAGAGUAGGGGAAUGACAUGCAGCAAGGGUCCGGACGGAUCGGGAGUUGAACCACCUGCUCAGACCAGGACCCACGUGGUGAUGUGGUCUCCUCCUUCUGCAGAGACAGAGAAUGUCUGUCACAGAGGCUGUCAAAAGCUUCAGGUCCUGCAACAAUUUUUUGUAAUACAGGAUUGUCUUACUCAAAUAAAUACUUCUGAAAACUGUA